AGUCGGCCUGCGGGAUCGCAAGGAAGAAGUUGGGGAGAAAAGACUCUUCAGCAACAUAACUGAACUACAAACCUGACAGAGGAGACUUCAUCCAGAAGGUGAAAGAUUCGCCGCAAGUUAAGGCACGGGUCAAAGGGCACAUCGCUUUCACCAGACAUCCGGACAUGCCUGGACACACAUCCCUUCUCACCCACACUUUCCCAUAACCCCCCUUGUUUACCAACAGGUGCGGGUCAAAGGGCAACAUCGGGUAAUCCCUUAAUUGAGGGGGGUGACAGGUGGGGGUCAAAGGUCAACCCAUCAAUCAAAGGUCAAAAGGUCAACCUGUCAAUCAAAGGUCAAAGGUAGGGUCAUAAAUCAUCAUAAAUCAACGCCCACAUUCCUGAGUGAAGAUAACUGGAUAUUCCUACUCUCUAAUAAGUAUUUGGUCACCAACAAACAAGCAAGAUUUCUGGCUGUCAAAGAGGUCUAACUUCUAACGAGGUCUAACGAGGCUCCACUCAUUACCUGUAUUAACGGCACCUGUUUUAACUCAUUAUCGGUAUAAAAGACACCUGUCCACAACCUCAGUCAGUCACACUCCAAACUCCACUCUGGCCAAGACCAAAGAGCUGUCGAAGGACACCAGAGACAAAAUUGUAGACCUGCACCAGGCUGGGAAGACUGAAUCUGCAAUAGGUAAAACGCUUGGUGUAAAGAAAUCAACUGUGGGAGCAAUUAUUACAAAAUGGAAGACAUACAAGACCACUGCUAAUCUCCCUCGAUCUGGGGCUCCAUGCAAGAUGUCACCCUGUGGCGUCAAAAUGAUGACAAGAACGCUGAGCAAAAAUCCCAGAACCACACGGGGGGACCUAGUGAAUGACCUACAGAGAGCGGGGACCACAGUAACAAAGGCUACUAUCAGUAACACAAAGCGCCGCCAGGGACUCAAAUCCUGCACUGCCAGACGUGUCCCCCUGCUAAAGAAAGUACACGUCCAGGCCCACCUGCGGUUCGCUAGAAAGCAUUUGGAUGGUCCAGAAGAGGACUGGGAGAAUGUGUUAUGGUCAUAUGAAACACAAAUAGAGCUUUUUGGUAGAAACACAAGUUCUCGUGUAUGGAGGAGAAAGAAUACUGAAUUGCAUCCAAAGAACACCAUGCCCUCUGUGAAGCCUGGGGGUGGAAAGAUCAUGCUUUGGGGUUGUUUUUCUGCAAAGGGACCAGGACAACUUAUCUGUGUAAAGGAAAGAAUGAAUGAGGCCAUAUAUUGAGAUUUUGAGUGAAAAUCUCCUUCCAUCAGCAAGAGCAUUUAGGAUGAGACGUGGCUGGGUCUUUCAGCAUGACAAUGAUCCCAAACACACAGCCAGGGCAACAAAGGAGUGGCUUCGUAAGAAGCAUUUCAAGGUCCUGGAGUGGCCUAGCCAGUCUCCAGAUUUCAACCCCAUAGAGAAUCUGUGCAGGGAGUUGUAAGUCCGUGUUGCCCAACGACAGCCCCAAAACAUCACUGCUAUAGAGGAGAUCUGCAUGGAGGAAUGGGCCAAAAUACCAGCAACAGUGUGUGAAAAGCUUGUGAAGAGUUACAUACACGUUUGGCCUCCGUUAUUGCCAACAAAGGGUACAUAACAAAGUAUUGAGACGAACUUUUGGUAUUGACCAAAUACUUAUUUUCCACCAUGA